rnacentral:rRNA from 2 species
UGCCGCGUGUGUGAAGAAGGCCUUUUGGUUGUAAAGCACUUUAAGCAGUGAAGAAGACCAUAUGGUUAAUACCCAUAUGCGAUGACAUUAGCUGCAGAAUAAGCACCGGCUAACUCUGUGCCAGCAGCCGCGGUAAUACAGAGGGUGCAAGCGUUAAUCGGAAUUACUGGGCGUAAAGCGAGCGUAGGUGGCUUGAUAAGUCAGAUGUGAAAUCCCCGGGCUUAACCUGGGAACUGCAUCUGAUACUGUUAAGCUAGAGUAGGUGAGAGGGAAGUAGAAUUCCAGGUGUAGCGGUGAAAUGCGUAGAGAUCUGGAGGAAUACCGAUGGCGAAGGCAGCUUCCUGGCAUCAUACUGACACUGAGGCUCGAAAGCGUGGGUAGCAAACAGGAUUAGAUACCCUGGUAGUCCACGCCGUAAACGAUGUCUACUAGUCGUUGGGGAACUUGAUUCCUUAGUGACGCAGCUAACGCAAUAAGUAGACCGCCUGGGGAG